UACGUAGGGCGCGAGCGUUAAUCGGAAUUACUGGGCGUAAAGCGUGCGCAGGCGGUGAUGUAAGACAGGUGUGAAAUCCCCGGGCUUAACCUGGGAACUGCGUUUGAAACUGAAAGGCUAGAGUGCAGAAGGGGCAACUGGAAUUCUCGGUGUAGCGGUGAAAUGCGUAGAUAUCGAGAGGAACACCUGCGGCGAAGGCGGGUUGCUGGGCUGACACUGACGCUGAGGCGCGAAAGCUAGGGGAGCGAACGGG
rnacentral:rRNA from 1 species